AGUGAACGCUGGCGGUAGGCCUAACACAUGCAAGUCGAACGGCAGCACAGUAAGAGCUUGCUCUUACGGGUGGCGAGUGGCGGACGGGUGAGGAAUACAUCGGAAUCUACUUUUUCGUGGGGGGUAACGUAGGGAAACUUACGCUAAUACCGCAUACGACCUACGGGUGAAAGCAGGGGAUCUUCGGACCUUGCGCGAUUGAAUGAGCCGAUGUCGGAUUAGCUAGUUGGCGGGGUAAAGGCCCACCAAGGCGACGAUCCGUAGCUGGUCUGAGAGGAUGAUCAGCCACACUGGAACUGAGACACGGUCCAGACUCCUACGGGAGGCAGCAGUGGGGAAUAUUGGACAAUGGGCGCAAGCCUGAUCCAGCCAUACCGCGUGGGUGAAGAAGGCCUUCGGGUUGUAAAGCCCUUUUGUUGGGAAAGAAAAGCAGCAGGUUAACACCCCGCUGUUCUGACGGUACCCAAAGAAUAAGCACCGGCUAACCUCGUG
rnacentral:rRNA from 1 species